AACCGAAUUGAUAACUGGAUGGAUUGAACGGUAUCAGUCCCUUUCUGUCUUUUAAGUAUUCGGGAGAAAAACGAAGGAAAUACAUCUCGUGCGUCUACGACAGCGUUGUUGCCAUAGAUGCUUGUAUUUCCUGCAACAAAA
rfam:Pichia sorbitophila strain CBS 7064 chromosome N complete sequence.